CGGAGGAUCCAAGCGUUUAUCCGGAUUCAUUUGGGUUUAAAGGGUGCGUAGGCCGGAAUGGUAAGUCAGUGGUGAAAGCCUACAGCUUAACUGUAGAAUUGCCGUUGAUACUGCCAAUCUUGAGUACAGUUGAUGUGGGUGGAAUAUGACAUGUAGCGGUGAAAUGCUUAGAUAUGUCAUAGAACGCCGAUUGCGAUGGCAGCUCACAAAACUGUAACUGACGCUGAGGCACGAAAGCGUGGGGAUCGAACAGGAUUAGAUACCCUGGUAGUCCACGCCGUAAACGAUGAUCACUCGAUGUUGGCGAUAUACUGUCAGCGUCCAAGCGAAAGUGUUAAGUGAUCCACCUGGGGAGUACGGUCGCAAGAUUG
rnacentral:rRNA from 1 species